CCCCAACCCAUCCUCCCGUUUUUUUUAUUAUUAUUGCAAACAUGUUUGUAAGAAUCUUCCUUUUUUUGUAGAAUUUAAUAAUCUUUCAGUUUUUGUAUUGUAUUUUUUACUUUGUAAGAUAGAUGUAUCAGUUUUUACUUUUGGAAUGCUUUUUGUUUGUUUGUUUACAUUGUUUAAAUUGAAGAAAGCUCAAUUUAGAUGCCAGGAACAAAGUGAGGUGUACCCCUUUUAUUUUAAAUGGAUUUGUGUCCGGUGCUUGGAUGUUAGAAAUGCCAAUAUUUUCUACCAGCAGCACAAAAUUGCUAUGCUUUUUCAAAAUACGUUUCGAAAAAUGUACUAUAACACGAGGCAUAGUGGAAAUCUUCUGCCGCUUGCAAGUUGGGUGUCAUAAUACAUACUUUUGUUGAACAUUUUCUUCACCAAAGCCCCACUCUUCCUUUGACUGAAGUCCCGGCCCAUAUCAAUUACUGACUCUUGUUAGGUACGUUUGUUGUGUACAAUCUGCUUAAUAUUCCUAGUUUCAUUAUGACAGCAUAUGAAACAUAUAAACAAAUCAAAAGGGUGGCCUUAGUCUUUUCCUGACUUUGGGAGUUUUGAUAAUGGUUGCUCACUAGUGCCUGAAUACCUGUCUACUACACAGUGAAAGACUACUAGGUUGUACCUUUUUAUAAAAACAUGUAUUUAAAAAAAAAAAAAAAAAGAUUUACUUAGGACAUUUGACAUUGUCUCAGCACAUCAAAAUGAACAAUUCAAUUUACAUCCCAGCUCAUCAAAAUGAACAAUUAAACUUACAUCUCAGUGCAUCAAAAUGAACAAUGACACUUCAUGGCACUGAUUUCUGUCAGUUCGUGAAGUAAGAUAUAGUUAAUGAAUUUAUAGGAUAGGGGAAAACACCCCGAUUACAUCAUGUUUUUAACUUGGUAAGAGGACCCUAACGACUAUUUCAAACGUAUCUAGUAUGUACUGAAUUUAUUUAAGAAAUAUAUCUUCAUCCCUGAUGGCAUGUGCAUUAUAUAUGUACAGCGGUAUGUCCACAUCAGUUUUAUUGUUGUAAACGGAUACUGAUAUGUAACAGUGUUUUGUAUACCAAUAUUGGUCAUUUUGUCCGUUUGUUUCAUGCUCGCCCGAUGGAGCAGCGCUGUCAAUUCUCCCAAACUCCUGUCCCGCACACCCGACUUAUCUGGGUGCGCUUUUGGUCCGAUGUAUGAAAGUGAAAUUACACAUUGCUACAUUUCAUUUACCUUUAUGAGAAAGAUUUCUACAGUAUAUUCUGUGUUCCAAGACACACAAGAUAUUUUGUGUUAUUUUUUUGGCGGGGGAAGACCAACUCAACCUACUCUUGUACACAAUAGAUACACUGCUCCACAAGCCACUGUCUCAUCAUCAUAUUUGGGGACACUAUGUAUGUAAGGUAUGUCCUCAAAGUGCCUCCAGUUUCCUAUUUUUUAUAUAUAAAGUAGAUAUUGAGAGCUGUCGUGUAUAUAACAGUAAUGUAGCAAUAAAUGUGCCAUUUUUAAUAACAAUACAUACAUUUUCCAAUGUCUUGUUUGAGCUAAAUGGAAAAAAAUACUAAUAAAUGGUUACAUAAGGCUUUUCUCUGCUAUGGACAACGGCAAAGGUAAUGUUUUGCUUUGUAUAGGGUAAAUUGACUUUCUAUAAUACUUAGUUAUUUUUAUUAAUUCAGUAAUUUCGGUUCUGUGUUUUUCUAAUUUACUGAGCUGCACUGCAUAGGCCUUCAUAUAAAAUCAACUGCAGUAUACUGCAAAUGGACAUUAGUUAAAUGAUCCCAAUACAUUACAAAUAUUAUCUAGCGAUCAGCUAACCAUGUCUUUGUCUUACAUGGUUCCAUGUUAACUUCAAUAAUAGGCCUACUAAAAUAAACCUUUGCGAGGUAUUACUUUCAUCAAACUAAAAGGUGACAGCCAACUGGUGUUUACAGAAGAUUUGUUGCGCGUGCGCAAUGAGGCCUGGGCGCUAGUAUAUAUAAAGUUUCGACCUUCGAUACUUUCGCUUGCUUUGUUUACGUGGCGGAACAAACUAAAUUGACUUCUAAAUUCACCGGGAAGAAGAAAGUGUGCAUCGCCAAUCCUGAGUCGCCUACAUGGCUUUUAAGGGGACGGUGGGAGAUGUGGUUCACCUUACCUACUGGACUAUCAACAGCAAGCAAAUUCACGGGAAAUUACGAGUAGUUUAUGACACAGUAGGUGCACAACCUGCAACCAUACCUGUUUGAGCCAUGAGCGCAGCUAGCUCCAGAAUCAGCCUACAGGGCAGAGGCUAUGGAUGAGCAGGACUGAGCAGGAAGUGAGCUACUGGUAUUCGCAAUGUAUUUUAUUUUAGACAAGACUAUUGGAAAAAUGUUAUCAGUAUGUUUACAUGUAUUCCUUUUGACAAAUAUUCCUAAGUAUUUAUAUCAAUGUUUGACGAGGUGAGUAACACAAUUAUAUGACCACUCCGCUGAUAUAUCCUACAUGCCUUCGUUAAUAUCAUAGAUCAAAAGAUUGCACUUUUUUUAGACAUUGUGUUGUGGAUACAUUCUCCAGACCAAAAUAAAUGCUGCAAUGUGAUGCCAAAGGUAUGCCAGGUUAUUGUUAUUUAAGUCACGUCUCAGUGCCUUGGAAAGGGCACUCAGACGUCACUAAAAGAACGCCACCUGUGUUUCCAGAAGAGUGGCCCGUUCAAAUUGUCAUUUGGUGAGAAAAAAAAUAGGAUUUUACUUUUCUUUUUGUUAUUUUGGUAACAGUGAUGCAAUAGUAUAGCUAUCUGUGUUGAUGAUCAUGUUCAAUGUUACAACAAUUACAAUGUUUAAAACCAAAAAAAUGGUUUUGGGUUCACCGGCUUUUCAAGACUGCCUCUCAACUACAUUUAAUAGGUAUAUUUAAUUGGGGACACCUUUAUUUAGGAAACCUUGUUAUUGUGUGGAUCUUAUCCUUGGAAGUUAACUUAAUGUAAUCUUGUAUUUUAGUCAUUUUAGUUCAAGUUUAAGAAUAACUUUGCCAUGGUUUGGCACACACUGACAUUGCUGCAAGUUUAUCUUGGGAGAAGUGUAUACCUUUUGUGAAUGCAGCAGACAAUGAGGAUGUGAUGAAUUUUCUUGACAUUUUGUCUUAACUGCAUCUGACCUGGAGGGUGAACACUUAUGGAAGCACGUGUGUGCUGCAGAGUGUGUUCCACCAAGCCCAACCGCAGACCUGAAACAGAGGCGGUCACAGCCAUGUCGUACCCGCAACCAACAUCAAUAGCCUUUCCAUCUCGUCAAGGACAUCUUAACCACAGUUGAUACCUCAUUUGUUUUUACAUGACCUCAAGCGGUGAGUGGGACGGUGAAAUAGUCAUUUGAAUAAGUGUAUUUGGCGUUUGCAAUUCUUCUUAUCUAUCAUGUGUAAUGUGAUAUGUUGUUCCCGUGCCUUAUGGGCCAGUGACAUUCGAGUCACCUCACUGAGAGGGAUGCAUGAAUUAAAACAUAGGCUACAUAUGCAUUGACUGGUUAAAUCUUCCAUAAAAUGCUUACAUCCUGUGCAGUAAAAUCGAACAUUUUGGAAAGGCAAUGACCGAAAUGCAGAAAAAAACGUUUCAGAUAUUGUAUAUAUUUUAUUAUAUUUAAGUUAGGCUAUAUUUAGUUUUUGGUAAAGGCUGAGGAAUAUUUUUAGCAGUCACCUAUAUUUGAUCUUUAUGGAUAUUUGGUGCAUUUGUGUAGUGUUAAACAAAGUCCGCUUAUGAGUAUUU